GACGAACGCUGGCGGCGUGCUUAACACAUGCAAGUCGAACGCGGAAGCUCAGCUUUUGUUGGGUGGAUGAGUGGCGAACGGGUGAGUAACACGUGAGUAACCUGCCUCCUUCUUUGGGAUAACGCCCGGAAACGGGCGCUAAUACUGGAUAUUCACUGGUCUUCGCAUGGGGGUUGGUGGAAAGGGUUUUUCUGGUGGGGGAUGGGCUCGCGGCCUAUCAGCUUGUUGGUGGGGUGAUGGCCUACCAAGGCUUUGACGGGUAGCCGGCCUGAGAGGGUGACCGGUCACAUUGGGACUGAGAUACGGCCCAGACUCCUACGGGAGGCAGCAGUGGGGAAUAUUGCACAAUGGGCGCAAGCCUGAUGCAGCGACGCCGCGUGAGGGAUGGAGGCCUUCGGGUUGUGAACCUCUUUCGCUCAUGGUCAAGCCGCAACAAUGGUUGUGGUGAGGGUAGUGGGUAAAGAAGCGCCGGCUAACUACGUG
rnacentral:rRNA from 1 species